rnacentral:tRNA from 1 species
UCCCUGGUGGCUCAGACGGUAAAAGCAUCUACCUACAAUGUAGGUAGACCUGGGUUCAAUCCCUGGGUGGGGAA